rnacentral:misc_RNA from 1 species
GAUGAAGAACGGCAGCGAAAUGCGAUACUUGGUGUGAAUUGCAGAAUCCCGUGAACCAUCGAGUCUUUGAACGCAAGUUGCGCCCGAAGCCAUUAGGCCGAGGGCACGCCUGCCUGGGCGUCACACGUCGUUGCCCCCCCAUCUACUCCUUCGGGAUUGCGGGGGGCGGAUGAUGGCCUCCCGUGCGCCUCGUCGCGCGGUUGGCAUAAAUGCCAAGUCCUCGGCGACACACGCCACGACAAUCGGUGGUUGCGAAACCUCGGUUGCCCGUCGUGUGCGGUCGUCGCGCAUCGAGGGCUCGAAAAAAUUGCCGGGCUCCGGCUCGGCUUUCAACGCGACCCCAGGUCAGGCGGGGUUACCCGCUGAAUUUAAGCAUAUCAAUAAGCGGAGGA